AAGCUUCAAAAACCCUUGGAAUUUCCUGAGUGCUGGUGCUUUUGUUCUGCUAAUGAGGUGAUUCACAUUGCACUCCCGGGAGCCAGGGGAGGGCAGAGACCGAGCUCAAUCAUGUGGCCAAUGAUUUAAUCAAUCAUGCCUACAGAAUGAGACUUCAAUGAAAUCUUUGGUCACCAAAGGUCAGUGCAGCCUCCCGACUGGUGUACAGACUGAUGUGCCGGGAGAGUGGGGUGCCCUGACAUUAAGGGGAAGGGUUGUAGAAGCUCUGCUUUCCCUUUUAGGCUUUGCUUUAUGUGUUUCUUUUACAAUAAAACUGUCAUGGUAAGCACAGGACUUUUUUCUGAGUUCUGUGAGUCCUUCUAGUGAAUUAUCAAACCUGAGGUGGGGACAUGGGAACCUCCUGGAACAGCAACCAGCUGGACAGAAAUAUUUUUGUGGUCUCAUGACAGGACAUUAGCAAUCUGGCUUUAACGUUUUUUCGUGGUCAGAAUGCUUUUAUCCUUCUCUACAACAACUUACCUUUUAACCUGGCAUCACCCCCAAAGGCACCACAGCCCCAGUUUCCUGUGGCCACUGCAGAAAGAUUCUCUGAAGAAAUUCCAGGACGGAGAAAUCCACAGUAAGCCUGCAGGAUAAAAGAAAUAUCAAAGCCUGGGCCAAAAUAGAGGGAAAAACAGAGAAGGAAGAAGGGAGAGAAAAACCUGGGAUUAUGCAAGGAAGAGACUAAGAAAUGAUAAAUUCUAAUAUUUAUUUGUUUGAAUGCUAAGCAAAUAAAAUCCCUUAAACUAA